rnacentral:rRNA from 1 species
AGAGUUUGAUCCUGGCUCAGAAUGAACGUUGGCGGCGUGGAUUAGGCAUGCAAGUCGGACGGGGCCCGGGCCACCGGGCACCCGUGGCGCAAGGGUGAGUAAGGCGACGGCAACCCCCCCCCAGGCCGGGCAUAGCCGCGGGAAACUGCGGGUAAUUCCCGGCGCCCUCGCAGCGGGGCAUCUCGCCGCGAGGAAAGGUGCGAUUCCGCCUGGGGACGGGCCGUCGUGGUAUUAGGUCGUUGGCGGGGUGACGGCCCACCAAGCCUCGGAUGCCUACCGGGCGUGCGAGCGCGGCCCGGCACACUGGGACUGAGACACUGCCCAGACACCUACGGGUGGCUGCAGUCGAGAAUCUUCGGCAAUGGGCGCAAGCCUGACCGAGCGACGCCGCGUGGAGGAUGAAGGCCCUCGGGUUGUAAACUCCUGUCGAGGGGGAAUAAGGGCGCAGGAAGACUGCGCCUUGCGUGAUCCCUGAAGGAAGCACGGACUAAGUUCGUGCCAGCAGCCGCGGUAAGACGAACCGUGCGAACGUUAUUCGGAAUCACUGGGCUUAAAGCGCGUGUAGGCGGGCCGGCACGUCGGAUUGCUGAAAGCCCCCGGCUCAACCGGGGAACGGGCACCGAUACGGCCGGCCUGGAGGGGGGUAGGGGGCGCCGGAACUUCCGGUGGAGCGGUGAAAUGCGUUGAGAUCGGAAGGAACGCCCGUGGCGAAAGCGGGCGCCUGGACCCCACCUGACGCUGAGACGCGAAAGCCAGGGGAGCGAACGGGAUUAGAUACCCCGGUAGCCCUGGCCGUAAACGAUGGGCACUGGGUAGGGGAUUCGCCGAUGGAUUCCCUGCCGCAGCGAAAGCGUGAAGUGCCCCGCCUGGGGAGUAUGGUCGCAAGGCUGAAACUCAAAGGAAUUGACGGGGGCUCACACAAGCGGUGGAGCAUGUGGCUUAAUUCGAGGCUACGCGCAGAACCUUAUCCCGGGCUUGACAUGCACGGAUUAGCCCCCGGAAACGGGGGUCAGGCCGCAAGGUACAACGUGCACAGGUGCUGCAUGGCUGUCGUCAGCUCGUGCCGUGAGGUGUUGGGUUAAGUCCCGUAACGAGCGAAACCCCUGUCUCUAGUUGCCAGCACGUCACGGUGGGCACUCUAGAGAGACCGCCGGCGUCAAGCCGGAGGAAGGCGGGGAUGACGUCAAGUCCUCAUGGCCCUGAUGCCCGGGGCCGCACACGUGCUACAAUGGGCCGGACAAUGCGUCGCGAAGGCGCAAGCCCCAGCUAAUCGCCAAAACCGGCCCCCAGUUCGGAUCGCGGGCUGCAACCCGCCCGCGUGAAGCCGGAAUCGCUAGUAAUCGGGGAUCAGCACCGCCCCGGUGAAUGGGUUCCUGAGCCUUGUACACACCGCCCGUCAAGCCACCAAAGGGGGGGGCACCCGAAGUCGUCGGCGCCGCGAGGCAGACGCCGAAGGUGAAACUCCUGGUGGGGACUAAGUCGUAACAAGGUAUCC